GACGAACGCUGGCGGCGUGCUUAACACAUGCAAGUCGAACGGAAAGGCCCUGCUUUUGUGGGGUGCUCGAGUGGCGAACGGGUGAGUAACACGUGAGUAACCUGCCCUUGUCUUUGGGAUAACUUCAGGAAACUGGGGCUAAUACCGGAUAGGAGCUCCUGCUGCAUGGUGGGGGUUGGAAAGUUUCGGCGGUUGGGGAUGGACUCGCGGCUUAUCAGCUUGUUGGUGGGGUAGUGGCUUACCAAGGCUUUGACGGGUAGCCGGCCUGAGAGGGUGACCGGCCACAUUGGGACUGCGAUACGGCCCAGACUCCUACGGUAGGCAGCAGUGGGGAAUAUUGCACAAUGGGCGGAAGCCUGAUGCAGCAACGCCGCGUUCGGGAUGACGGCCUUCGGGUUGUAAACCUCUUUCUCCUGUGACGAAGCGUGAGUGACGGUAAUGGGUAAAAAAGCACCGGCUAACUACGUG
rnacentral:rRNA from 1 species